UUUUAAAAUUGUUUAUUUUUUAGUAUUGUAUGCAUCUUUGGGAUCUGAUGGCUCAAUGAUUUCAACCAGUCACUCUUGAUAUAUACGCUAUUCUGAUUGCUGCUGUUGAAAAAAAUAUCCAUGAGAGCACCAUUGUACCCUAUCAACAUGCUUUGUAGAUACCUUUUCUCUUGCGUUCUGGAGUUAUUUUUCAAUUUUAGAAGUUUUUUACUAACUCCAUGUUCAUUCUUUUAUCUUAUUAUUAGCUUUUCAAGUGGUGGUGAAGAUGGAUAUGUAAGGCUGCAUCAUUUUGAUUCUGACUACUUUAGCAUCAAAAUGUAGAUAAAGAACAGACGAAUCAGAGGCUGUUUGAUUACCAAUCGGUUCAGUUUCUUGGUUUAGACUUCAGAUGUUAGAUGUUGCUGGUUGGCCAUGGAGCAUGUAGAGCAGGCUCAGAUCCUAGGUUUUUGGUCUGCUUGUUUGAUGAUGUUGCUGCUCUGGAUAGGCAGCUUUUUGGUCUGCUUGAGGAAUUUGUACACACGUGGCAAUGAAAAGAUCCUUGGACUGAGUUGUCAUUCUCGCUCAUGUUUCCAGUUUUGUUUCGAUUUGUAGUGCUCACAUUUCAAAACCUGUGUUUUAACUCUACA